GACAGAGGUGCCGAGCGUUAGGCGGAAUCACUGGGCUUAAAGCGUGUGUAGGCGGGUGCCUAAGUACCUUGUGAAAUCCCACGGCUCAACCGUGGAACUGCUCGGUAUACUGGGUGCCUUGAGCCAACUAGGGGCGACCGGAACAAACGGUGGAGCGGUGAAAUGCGUAGAUAUCGUCAAGAACACCUAUUGCGAAGGCAGCUAACUAAGCUCAAACUGACGCUGAGGCACGAAAGUGUGGGGAUCAAACAGG
rnacentral:rRNA from 1 species